rnacentral:rRNA from 1 species
GACGAACGCUGGCGGCGCGCUUAACACACGCAAGUCGAACGGAAAGGCCUGCUUUCCCUUGUGGAUUGCGGGUACUCGAGUGGCGAACGGGUGAGUAACACGUGAGUGAUCUGCCCCCAACUUGGGUAUAAGCCUGGGAAACUGGGUCUAAUUCCCGAUAGGACUGCAGGGUGGUGCCUGUGGUGGAAAACGAUUUUCUAGUGGUUGGGGAUGAGCUCGCGGCCUAUCAGCUUGUUGGUGGGGUAAUGGCCUACCAAGGCGGCGACGGGUAGCCGGCCUGAGAGGGUGGACGGCCACAGUGGGACUGAGAUACGGCCCAGACUCCUACGGGAGGCAGCAGUGGGGAAUAUUGCACAAUGGGCGGAAGCCUGAGGCAGCGACGCCGCGUGGGGGAUGACGGCCUUCGGGUUGUAAACUCCUUUCGACCGCGAGGAAGCCACCUGGUUGGAAGGGUGGUGACGGUAGUGGUAGAAGAAGCACCGGCUAACUACGUG